CCCGGCUAGCUCAGUCGGUAGAGCAUGAGACUCUUAAUCUCAGGGUCGUGGGUUCGAGCCCCACGUUGGGCGGCAACUGGUCGUUUUAGUCCUAAAUCUACGACUACUAGCCAUACCUAAAAAUAUAUUAUAAGUAGACCAGCUCUUAGGAAAAUAAUCUGCUCUGAAGUCUUGCAUUUCUGUGUGUGUAAUACUCUUGCGGGCGCUCCACUGUUCAUUAUCUACCCAUUAUCUUGCGAUACAAUUAGGAUUUAAAGCUGUGGUAAAAUAUGCCCAACAAAAUUUAACACUUUUUAACUGUACAGUUCUGUAGCAUUAAAUACAUUUAAAUGGUUGUGCAUCAGUCUCC
rnacentral:tRNA from 1 species